CAGAUGGUGGGAUUUGGUUCCAUGCCGACAUUGCACCGACGCAUGGAUGGGAAGUAACCCACGGCCCAAACGAUCACCUUGUACUCGCCUGGGUUCAGAAGACGCCAGUAGUCCCCAUCAGUGGCUACAGAAAAAAAUGAGCUUCUAUCUUGUGACAAAAAUGUUCUUCGGGGCUCCAAAUGGCUUGAUAUCAGAGAUAUGUUUGACGGAUUACAGAAAGAAAAUCAACUGGCUGACCUGAUCGGAUGUCAUGGUCAUGGUCCUCCACCUUGAUUAUAGCAUCUGCUAUUCCUUUUUUGGUGAGCUUGUCC